GUGGGGAAUAUUGGACAAUGGGCGAAAGCCUGAUCCAGCCAUGCCGCGUGUGUGAAGAAGGUCUUCGGAUUGUAAAGCACUUUAAGUUGGGAGGAAGGGCAGUAAGUUAAUACCUUGCUGUUUUGACGUUACCGACAGAAUAAGCACCGGCUAACUUCGUGCCAGCAGCCGCGGUAAUACGAAGGGUGCAAGCGUUAAUCGGAAUUACUGGGCGUAAAGCGCGCGUAGGUGGUUUUGUAAGUUGGAGGUGAAAUCCCCGGGCUCAACCUGGGAACUGCCACCAAAACUGCAUGGAUAGAGUACGGUAGAGGGUAGUGGAAUUUCCUGUGUAGCGGUGAAAUGCGUAGAUAUAGGAAGGAACACCAGUGGCGAAGGCGACUACCUGGACUGAUACUGACACUGAGGUGCGAAAGCGUGGGGAGCAAACAGGAUUAGAAACCCUUGUAGUCC
rnacentral:rRNA from 1 species